rnacentral:lncRNA from 1 species
UCACUUUCUGCUGGUUUGAGGUUUUUUAAUUGUGCCUUUAAACAAAAUAUUUCAGUCUCAAUGUUUAACACAUGUAUUUAGCUUCUUUUAUGGUGAAUAUGAUUUUACAGACUCUGUAUCAAUUUGUGAAUUUAUAAAAGGAAAUAACUAUCAUUGGAGAUAGAGAUCCAUUUAUUUUUAGUUUCUUAUCUUGGUAAUCCAGUUUAGGGUUUUAGAGUUAUUGCCCUUGGCAUACUUACAUUUGUAAGUAUAUUAAGAAGUUAUUGUCCUGUGUCUUAUAAUGUAUUUGAAAAAUAUACAUGUAUUAUGUAUUGUUUAAGUAAAAAUAAAGCAUUGUGCAACACAAACCAUGUUGUAAAAAACUACCUCAAACAAAGUUCAUGUACAUCACUACUUUUUGUAUAUCCAAAGUUUUUACAAUUCACAUACACAUUUACUUGAAACAUUAUUGUUAAAGUAAUUAAGCUAUAUUUGAAUUUUACUUUGAAAAUAAUAAAAAAAAAAAUUUUCUUGUAUUUAACUAUUGGAACAACUAUUGUUAAAUAUUGGAUUUGAUUAGAAUUGAUAUAUUCAAAGAUAAAAAUCUUAUGAAUAAAAUAUUUAACAAAAUUAUUCAAAAUAUUUCUGGAGAAAAGUUUCCUAAACAACUUUAAUACACAGUUUGGGUAAUAAAAAACAUGUGAUGGCGACAUAUUCAAAAUAUUGCAACUUUUGAUUGUUGUAUAUAGUUAAAGAAACUUUUAUAAUUUUUUAUAAGUUGUCUCCAAAUGAGCAAGGCUUUUUUUUUUUUUUACAUGUGUUAGCUAAAAACUGCCAUUAUAUCUUACCAUUUUGCAUUUUGUUAUUUUUUUAGAAGAAUACUUUAUACUCAAUUAUUUCAUAUUAAACCUUUUCUUUAUAUUAAUAUAUAAUAAGUUAAUGAUGUUUACAUAAUGCAAUAUAUUGAGACGGGC